ensembl:processed_transcript
AUGACUUCUUUCUCCCUUAAGAAAACAAAUAGGAAAGUAAAAGACAAACAAGGAAGAAUAAGAAACAGAGAAACUAAGAAGGAGAAUGAGAUAUGCACACACUUCCCUGUCUGGGCACUGGGACUCUGGCUUGAACCCGUGCAGUUUCUCCAGGACUUUUAUCACGAAGAGAUGCUGGAUUUUAUCAAAGACACAAAGGGGAAUGGUCCAUCCAGAUCCACAAGCUUGUCAAAACCAGCAGAGGCAUAAGGUCAUAGAAUCCAUGUCCACUACGCAGUCUGCUCCUCACCCACUGUCCGUUGGAAAGCCGAUUCCUUCCUCCUGUGUGCGUGCUGCUGGUACUCUAUGUUCCACCUGCCUUCCAAGAGCUCACAGAACUUGGCAGUGUUUGCCCUGUGUUGUCUCAACUGCUGAGAAAUGGCGUCAUCCACACCAGGGGCCAAAACACCACCUUUGUAGUACCUUUGUUCUCAGCUGUGAGUUUUGUGAUCUCCACAAAAAAGUGGAUACCAAACUUUCUUCCUGG